GGGUCAGUAGGUUGGUCGUGCCACCGGUACGUACUGGUCUCACUGAUUCCUCCUUCCUCAAGAACCGUAAUGCCAUUAAUUUGGUGUUGCGGGGAAACAGGACUGUUACUUUGAAAAAAUUAGAGUGUUUAAAGCAAGCAAACGCUUGAAUACAUUAGCAUGGAAUAAUGAAAUAGGACGAUCGAUCCUAUUUUGUUGGUUUCUAGGAUUGACGUA
rnacentral:rRNA from 1 species